rnacentral:rRNA from 1 species
CAGUAGCCGCGGUAAUACGAAGGGGGCUAGCGUUACUCGGAAUUACUGGGCGUAAAGGGCGCGUAGGCGGCACGAUUAGUCAGGCGUGAAAUUCCUGGGCUCAACCUGGGGACUGCGCUUGAUACGGUCGAGCUAGAGGAUGGAAGAGGGUUGUGGAAUUCCCAGUGUAGAGGUGAAAUUCGUAGAUAUUGGGAAGAACACCGGUGGCGAAGGCGGCAACCUGGUCCAUUACUGACGCUGAGGCGCGACAGCGUGGGGAGCAAACAGGAUUAGAGACCCCCGUAGUCCCUGUCUCUUAUAC